rnacentral:rRNA from 1 species
AUUGAACGCUGGCGGCAGGCCUAACACAUGCAAGUCGAGCGGAUGAAGGGAGCUUGCUCCUGGAUUCAGCGGCGGACGGGUGAGUAAUGCCUAGGAAUCUGCCUGGUAGUGGGGGAUAACGUCCGGAAACGGGCGCUAAUACCGCAUACGUCCUGUGGGAGAAAGUGGGGGAUCUUCGGACCUCACGCUAUCAGAUGAGCCUAGGUCGGAUUAGCUAGUUGGUGGGGUAAAGGCCUACCAAGGCGACGAUCCGUAACUGGUCUGAGAGGAUGAUCAGUCACACUGGAACUGAGACACGGUCCAGACUCCUACGGGAGGCAGCAGUGGGGAAUAUUGGACAAUGGGCGAAGGCCUGAUCCAGCCAUGCCGCGUGUGUGAAGAAGGUCUUCGGAUUGUAAAGCACUUUAAGUUGGGAGGAAGGGCAGUAAGUUAAUACCUUGCUGUUUUGACGUUACCAACAGAAUAAGCACCGGCUAACUUCGUG